CCUACGGGUGGCAGCAGUGAGGAAUAUUGGGCAAUGGGCGCAGGCCUGAACCAGCCAAGUCGCGUGAGGGAAGACUGCCCUAUGGUUGGUAAACCUCUUUUAUAAGGGAAGAAUAAUGACUACGUGUAGUCAGAUGCCCGUACCUUAUGAAUAAGCAUCGGCUAACUCCGUGCCAGCAGCCGCGGUAAUACGGAGGAUGCGAGGGUUAUCCGGAUUUAUUGGGUUAAAGGGGUGCGUAGGCGGUAUUUUAAGCUAGUGGGAAAACGUCGGGGCUUCACCUUGAUUGGCCAUUAAAACUGGAGUACUAGAGUACAGACGAGGUAGGCGGAAUAAGUUAAGUAGCGGUGAAAUGCUUAGAUAUAACUUAGAACCCCGAUAGCGAAGGCAGCUUACUGGACUGCAACUGACACUGAGGCUCGAAAGUGUGGGUAUCAAACAGGAUUAGAUACCCUGGUAGUC
rnacentral:rRNA from 1 species